GCCAGCAUGGUGUAGUGGUUUGAACAUUGGACUACAACUCUGGAAACCAGGGUUCAAACCCAUACUGAGCUGUGA